rnacentral:rRNA from 1 species
GAUGAACGCUGGCGGCGUGCUUAACACAUGCAAGUCGAACGGAAAGGCCGAAGCUUGCUUCGGUACUCGAGUGGCGAACGGGUGAGUAACACGUGGGUGAUCUGCCCUGUACUUCGGGAUAAGCUUGGGAAACUGGGUCUAAUACCGGAUAUGACGAUCUCUUGGAUGGGGUUGUGGAAAGCUUUUGCGGUAUGGGAUGAGCUCGCGGCCUAUCAGCUUGUUGGUGGGGUAAUGGCCUACCAAGGCGUCGACGGGUAGCCGGCCUGAGAGGGUGUAGGGCAACAUGGGGACAGGGUAACGGCCCAGACUCCGGGGGGGGGCGGGGGGGGGGAAUGUGGAAAAGGGGGGGAAGGCGUGAGGCGGGGAGGCGGGGGGGGGGAGGAGGGCUUGGGGGUGGAAAACUCCUGAGGAAAGGGAGGAAGCUGUUGGGGGAGGGUGGGUGGAAAAAAGACCCCGCCAAGCUAGGUG